rnacentral:rRNA from 1 species
GGCCUAUCAGCUUGUUGGUGGGGUAAUGGCCUACCAAGGCGACGACGGGUAGCCGGCCUGAGAGGGCGACCGGCCACACUGGGACUGAGACACGGCCCAGACUCCUACGGGAGGCAGCAGUGGGGAAUAUUGCACAAUGGGCGAAAGCCUGAUGCAGCGACGCCGCGUGAGGGAUGACGGCCUUCGGGUUGUAAACCUCUUUCAGCAGGGAAGAAGCGCAAGUGACGGUACCUGCAGAAGAAGCACCGGCUAACUACGUGCCAGCAGCCGCGGUAAUACGUAGGGUGCGAGCGUUGUCCGGAAUUAUUGGGCGUAAAGAGCUCGUAGGCGGCCUGUCGCGUCGGAUGUGAAAGCCCGGGGCUUAACCCCGGGUCUGCAUUCGAUACGGGCAGGCUAGAGUGUGGUAGGGGAGAUCGGAAUUCCUGGUGUAGCGGUGAAAUGCGCAGAUAUCAGGAGGAACACCGGUGGCGAAGGCGGAUCUCUGGGCCAUUACUGACGCUGAGGAGCGAAAGCGUGGGGAGCGAACAGGAUUAGAUGCCCUGGUAGUCCACGCCGUAAACGUUGGGAACUAGGUGUUGGCGACAUUCCACGUCGUCGGUGCCGCAAGCUUACGCAUUAAGUUCCCGCCUGGGGAGUACGG